GGAUGAAAAAGCCCAGCGGAUUCCACUCUGCCGUACGCAUCAGCGCAGGACUGGCUCAAGACUCUGAUGAAGCAGUACGGCCGCACCCCUGCGAGGGCUGGCUCAGAGAAUGGCAUUAUAGGGAUUUUUACUUCAAAGCGAACCCCAGGUCGAAGAGGAUUGGCAGGCUCAGGGAAUGGGACAUGAGGCCUUCUGAACUUGGGAUGGACUCAAGGCAGAAGGAAACCGUCUUCCAGUGGGCAACAGAAACAAGAGGACAAUGGAAAGCACAGCAGGAAAGCCUGGCUUCUCUCCCAAUUUUGAAAGGCACAUCAUAAAU